rnacentral:sRNA from 1 species
UUUUUAGAGAGUAAACAAAGGGGAACUCGCAUACUGGAUCGACACCCUUGACUUUUUCCAACCUUUGUAAUUGAUCAUUCCAAAUAAUGUAU